rnacentral:lncRNA from 1 species
GCUUCACGAAUGCACACAGUCAGGUCACAGAAGUGCCCACCCAGCUUCUGCCCAUUGAGGGUCUCAAGCAGAGAGCGUGAGAAGUUCUGCAGAUGUAUGUGGCGCACAGCCUCUGCAGCCGCCGACUCCGACUUCUCUUCAGGCACCAGGCCCGGCCGUGGCCGCCUUCUCACCGACUCCAAGGCAGCACUUCCGGGCGCUUCUCUUUAUUUUUAUACAGUUUUAUUGAGAUAUAAUUUACAUGCUCUCCAGCCCAUCUAUUUCAAGUGUACCAUGCAAGGGGUUUGUGUAUAUUCACAGAGUUGUGUAUCCAUCACCAUCGUUUUAGAACAUUCAUCAGUCCAGAAGAAACCACGUACCCAUCAGCAGCCACUGCCCAUUUCCCUGAUCUGCCCCGCCCUAGGAAAUCCGUAAUCACUUUCAGUCUAUGGAUUUGCCUAUUCUAGACCAUUCAUAUAAAUGAAGUCACACAACACUGGGUCUUAUGUGACUGGCUUCUAUCAAAGUUUGCAAGGUUCAUUUAAGUUCAUGGGCUGACCCCACAUUGGACACCGCUGCAUCCAUGUCCAUCACACAACACAGCUGCCUUUUCUUCUGCCUGCUUAUGGGAAAGUCCCCUCUUCUCCGUUUUCUUCUCUUCCUGCCCUAUCACACUGUGCACUUCUCCCUUUCCUUAAAGAACCACCAUCAACUUUAGGAGGAGGGAAAGGGGUGGCUCUGGCAGGAAAAGCCAGAAUCCCCUCUAGCCAGCAGAGAGAGAGGAAUGGCUGCAUGUUUUCUCCCCCAAUCCAAGGCACUGGGUCUUGGCUGGGUUGCAGGUUCCAAGCUGCUCUCCUGCUGUGUCGGUGAGUUCUGGUCAACCUGCAACCUCCUGAUGUGGCCAUUGCAGUUCAUCGAGUCUUCAGGGACUCCCCAUGGCCUGGAGUACUUUGCCUUGCUUACACGGGAGAGGAGAAUGGAUUUAUAGAGAACAUCAUCUAAAUCCAACUUGACCAUUGCGUGGCCACACUUGCUAGAUUGCUGUAGUCUAAAUCUAGCAUUGUAGAAAGAUGGGGGAGCUUGAAGCUGCACAAACCCAGGUCUGGAACUGGCUCCUUACCUUGGAAGGUGAAUGAUCCUGGCAGGACUCUUAGCCUCCCUGGGCCUCAGUUUCUUUAUCUGUUUCAUAGGAAUGAGGAUCUCUGCUGGGUGGUUGGGUGAUGUGGGGGCUGUGUGAAAACAGCUUGUCAAUACAAGCCAAAAUAGAAAUAUUUCUCCACAGAGUAUGAAGGUCAAAUGAGAGAAGACAUUUAAAUUAAAUGGAAAAUUAAAAUGGUAAAAAAAAGGCAAAGCUGUAUUGAAAGUUCCGAGCUUCUCUAUAAGGAGCUUUUUGACUAUGUAAGAAUCCUGUACUCGUUCUUCCUAAAUAUAAAAAAAAAAAGUUGAAGGAGGCAGAAGGGAGAGUGAUGCACGAUGGGCGAGGACUUCACCUGCUGUUGCUGGCUUUGAGGAUGGAGGAAGGAGGCCACAAACCUAGAAACUGGAGCCCCUAGAAGCUAGAAAAGGCAGGGACCCGAUUCUUCCCUUGAGCCUCCAGAAGGGACAUAGCCCCGCCAGCACCUUGACUUUAGCCCAGUGAGAUCCUCUUAGGACUUUUGGCAACCAGAACUAUAAGACAGAAAUGGAAGCUACUGAGUCUGUAGCUGUUUGUUGCAGCAGCAAUAGAAAACUAAUGCAGAGCCCAAGAAAUCACUGGUGAUGAGAUUGGGAAAGUGGGCUCAGGAGGUCUGGAUGUGUGAUGAGAUGGGGAAAGUGGGCUCAGGAGGUCUGGAUCUGUGAUGAGAUGGGGAAAGUGGGCUCAGGAGGUCUGGAUCUGUGAUGAGAUGGGGGAAGUGCGCUCAGGAGGUCUGGAUCUGUGAUGAGAUGGGGAAAGUGGGCUCAGGAGGUCUGGAUCUGUGAUGAGAUGGGGGAAGUGGGCUCAGGAGGUCUGGAUCUGGGGUGGGGAUCUGGAGUGGAAGGGGAAUUCAUUUGUUCAUUGUCUAUCCUUUUGCAUUGAUUGAAUUUUUUUCUAUAUAUAUGUGAAUUUUCACAAUAAAAUUUUUUUCC